rnacentral:rRNA from 1 species
UACGAAGGGGGCUAGCGUUGCUCGGAAUCACUGGGCGUAAAGCGCACGUAGGCGGCUUUCUAAGUCAGGGGUGAAAUCCUGGAGCUCAACUCCGGAACUGCCCUUGAUACUGGAGAGCUUGAGUUCGGGAGAGGUGAGUGGAACUGCGAGUGUAGAGGUGAAAUUCGUAGAUAUUCGCAAGAACACCAGUGGCGAAGGCGGCUCACUGGCCCGAUACUGACGCUGAGGUGCGAAAGCGUGGGGAGCAAACAGG